rnacentral:rRNA from 1 species
CAGGAUGAACGCUGGCGGCGUGCCUAAUACAUGCAAGUCGAACGAGGGUGCUUGCACCCUAGUGGCGAACGGGUGAGUAACACGUAGGUAACCUGCCCUUAAGCUUGGGAUACCCAGAGGAAACUUUGGCUAAUACCGGAUAACAACAGAGAAGGCAUCUUCUUUGCUUGAAAGGCCCUUUCGGGUCACUUAAGGAUGGACCUGCGGCGCAUUAGCUAGUUGGUGAGAUAACAGCCCACCAAGGCAAGGAUGCGUAGCCGAACUGAGAGGUUGAUCGGCCACAUUGGAACUGAGACACGGUCCAAACUCCUACGGGAGGCAGCAGUAAGGAGUUUUCGGCAAUGGGGGAAACCCUGACCGAGCAACGCCGCGUGAGUGAUGACGGCCCCUAUGGGUUGUAAAGCUCUUUUAUAAGGGAUGAAUGACAGUGCUAGGAAAUGAGCAUUGUUUGACGGUACCUUUUGAAUAAGCCACGGCUAACUACGUGCCAGCCGCUGC